rnacentral:rRNA from 1 species
UGAGACACGGCCCAGACUCCUACGGGAGGCAGCAGUAGGGAAUCUUGGACAAUGGGGGCAACCCUGAUCCAGCCAUGCCGCGUGAGUGAAGAAGGCCCUAGGGUCGUAAAGCUCUUUCGCCUGUGAUGAUAAUGACAGUAGCAGGUAAAGAAACCCCGGCUAACUCCGUGCCAGCAGCCGCGGUAAUACGGAGGGGGUUAGCGUUGUUCGGAAUUACUGGGCGUAAAGGGAGCGCAGGCGGUUCAUUAAGUUAGGCG